UAUGAAUAAGCAUCGGCUAACUCCGUGCCAGCAGCCGCGGUAAUACGGAGGAUGCGAGCGUUAUCCGGAUUUAUUGGGUUUAAAGGGAGCGCAGACGGGUCGUUAAGUCAGCUGUGAAAGUUUGGGGCUCAACCUUAAAAUUGCAGUUGAUACUGGCGUCCUUGAGUGCGGUUGAGGUGUGCGGAAUUCGUGGUGUAGCGGUGAAAUGCUUAGAUAUCACGAAGAACUCCGAUUGCGAAGGCAGCACACUAAUCCGUAACUGACGUUCAUGCUCGAAAGUGUGGGUAUCAAACAGGAUUAGAUACCCUGGUAGUCCACACGGUAAACGAUGAAUACUCGCUGUUUGCGAUAUACUGCAAGCGGCCAAGCGAAAGCGUUAAGUAUUCCACCUGGGGAGUACGCCGGCAACGGUGAAACUCAAAGGAAUUGACGGGGGCCCGCACAAGCGGAGGAACAUGUGGUUUAAUUCGAUGAUACGCGAGGAACCUUACCCGGGCUUAAAUUGCAAAGGAAUAAUCUGGAAACAGGUUAGUCUUCGGACCUUUGUGAAGGUGCUGCAUGGUUGUCGUCAGCUCGUGCCGUGAGGUGUCGGCUUAAGUGCCAUAACGAGCGCAACCCUUAUCACUAGUUACUAACAGGUGAAGCUGAGGACUCUGGUGAGACUGCCAGCGUAAGCUGUGAGGAAGGUGGGGAUGACGUCAAAUCAGCACGGCCCUUACAUCCGGGGCGACACACGUGUUACAAUGGCAUGGACAAAGGGCAGCUACCUGGCGACAGGAUGCUAAUCUCCAAACCAUGUCUCAGUUCGGAUCGGAGUCUGCAACUCGACUCCGUGAAGCUGGAUUCGCUAGUAAUCGCGCAUCAGCCAUGGCGCGGUGAAUACGUUCCCGGGCCUUGUACACACCGCCCGUCAAGCCAUGAAAGCCGGGGGUACCUGAAGUGCGUAACCGCAAGGAGCGCCCUAGGGUAAAACCGGUAAUUGGGGCUAAGUCGUAACAAGGUAGCCGUACCGGAAGGUGCGGCUG
rnacentral:rRNA from 1 species